AGAGUUUGAUCCUGGCUCAGGAUGAACGCUGGCGGCGUGCUUAACACAUUCAAGUCGAACGGAGCUUAAUUAAUUAAUCCUUCGGGAAGCGUUGAUUAAGCUUAGUGGCGGACGGGUGAGUAAUGCAUGAGCAACCUGCCUUUUCGUGGGGAAUAACACAGGGAAACCGGUGCUAAUACCGCAUAUGACGUAACCCCGGCAUCGGGGUAGCGUGAAAGGAGCAAUUCGCGAAAAGAUGGGCUCAUGUCUGAUUAGAUAGUUGGCAGGGUAACGGCCUACCAAGUCGACGAUCAGUAGCCGGACUGAGAGGUUGAACGGCCACAUUGGAACUGAGAUACGGUCCAGACUCCUACGGGAGGCAGCAGUGGGGAAUAUUGGGCAAUGGGCGAAAGCCUGACCCAGCGACGCCGCGUGAGGGAAGAAGGUCUUCGGAUUGUAAACCUUUGUCAACAGGGACGAAACAAAUGACGGUACCUGAAGAGGAAGCCACGGCUAACUACGUGCCAGCAGCCGCGGUAAUACGUAGGUGGCGAGCGUUAUCCGGAAUUACUGGGUGUAAAGGGUGCGUAGGCGGGUCUGUAAGUCAGAUGUGAAAUGCAAUGGCUCAACCAUUGAAACUGCAUUUUGAAACUGUGGAUCUUGAGAGUGGGAGAGGUAAUCGGAAUUCCCGGUGUAGCGGUGAAAUGCGUAGAAAUCGGGAGGAACACCAGUGGGCAAAGGCGGAUAACUGGGAACACACUGGACGCUGAGGCAGGAAAGCGUGGGGAGGCAAACAGGAUUAGAAUACCCUGGUAGUCCACGCUGUAAACGAUGAAUGCUAGGUGUAGGGGGCGAAAGCUUCUGUGCCGGAGUAAACACAAUAAGCAUUCCACCUGGGGAGUACGACCGCAAGGUUGAAACUCAAAGGAAUUGACGGGAGCCCGCACAAGCAGUGGAGUAUGUGGUUUAAUUCGAAGCAACGCGAAGAACCUUACCAAGGCUUGACAUCCUACUAAAGUCAUGGAAACAUGAUGUCUCUUCGGAGGAGUAGAGACAGGUGGUGCAUGGUUGUCGUCAGCUCGUGUCGUGAGAUGUUGGGUUAAGUCCCGCAACGAGCGCAACCCCUAUUGCCAGUUACCAGCGGGUAGAGCCGGGGACUCUGGUAAGACUGCCGGGGACAACUCGGAGGAAGGUGGGGACGACGUCAAAUCAUCAUGCCCCUUACGUCUUGGGCUACACACGUGCUACAAUGGCUGAAACAAAGGGAAGCGACAUCGCAAGAUGAAGCGGAUCUCAUAAAAACAGUCCCAGUUCGGAUUGUGGGCUGCAACCCGCCCACAUGAAGUCGGAGUUGCUAGUAAUCGCGGAUCAGCAUGCCGCGGUGAAUACGUUCCCUGGGCCUUGCACUCACCGCCCGUCA
rnacentral:rRNA from 1 species